rnacentral:lncRNA from 1 species
CGAACAAGCGCCCUCUGGUUCCUCUGGCGAAUAGGAUUUUCUAGGGUCCUCCAGCAACCAGGCCCUCGUAUUCCAGGUUCUAAACCGACCAGGUGUCCUCUGGGUCCCACGACGAAAAAUCUUUCUGCCUCGACAACUAGUGUCCUCUGCAUCAUAUAGCAAUCAGGAAACAGGGUCCCUCGGCGAACAAGCGUCCUCUGGUGAAUAGGAUUUUCUAGGGUCCUCCAGCAACCAGGCCCUCGUAUUCCAGGUUCUAAACCGACCAGGUGUCCUCUGGGUCCCACGGUGAAAAAUCUUUGUGUCUCGACAACCAGUGUACUCUGCGUCAUACAGCAAUCAGGAAACAGGGUCCCUCGGCGAACAAGCAUCCUUGGGUUCCUCUGGUGCAAAGGCUUUUCCCGGGUCCUCUAGCAACCAGGCCCUCGUAUUCCAGGUUCUAAACCGACCAGGUGUCCUCUGGGUCCCACGGUGAAAAAUCUUUGUGCCUCGACAACCAGUGUACUCUGCGUCAUACAGCAAUCAGGAAACAGGGUCCCUCGGCGAACAAGCAUCCUUGGGUUCCUCUGGUGCAAAGGCUUUUCCCGGGUCCUCCAGCAACCAGGCCCUCGUAUUCCAGGUUCUAAACUGACCAGGUGUCCUCUGGGUCCCACGGCGAAAAAUCUUUGUGACUCGACAACCAGUGCCCUCUGCAUCAUACACCAAUCAGAAAAUAGCAUCCCUUGGCGAACAAGCAUCCUCAGGUUCCUCUGGCGAAUAGGAUUUUCUAGGGUCCUCCAGCAACCAGGCCCUCGUAUUCCAGGUUCUAAACCGACCAGGUGUCCUUUGGGUCCCACGGCGAAAAAUCAUUGUGCCUCGACAACCAGUGCCCUCUGCAUCAUACAGCAAUCAGGAAACAGGGUCCCUCGGCGAACAAGCGCCCUCUGCUUCCUCUGGCGAAUAGGAUUUUCUAGGGUCCUCCAGCAACCAGGUCCUCGUAUUCCAGGUUCUAAACCGACCAGGUGUCCUCUGGGUCCCAUGGCGAAAAAUCUUUGUGUCUCGACAACCAGUGUCCUCUGCAUUAUACAGCAAUCAGGAAACAGGGUCCCUCGGCGAACAAGCAUCCUCAAGUUCCUCUGGCGAAUAGGCUUUUCUAGGGUCCUCCAGCAACCAGGCCCUCGUAUUCCAGGUUCUAAACCGACCAGGUGUCCUUUGGGUCCCACGGCGAAAAAUCUUUGUGACUCGACAACCAGUGCCCUCUGCAUCAUACAGCAAAUAGAAAAUAGCAUCCCUUGGCGAACAAGCAUCCUCAGGUUCCUCUGGCGAAUAGGAUUUUCUAGGGUCCUCCAGCAACCAGGCCCUCAUAUUCCAGGUUCUAAACCGACCAGGUGUCCUUUGGGUCCCACGGCGAAAAAUCAUUGUGCCUCGAUAACCAGUGCCCUCUGCAUCAUACAGCAAUCAGGAAACAGGGUCCCUCGGCGAACAAGCGCCCUCUGGUGAAUAGGAUUUUCUAGGGUCCUCCAGCAACCAGGCCCUCGUAUUCCAGGUUCUAAACCGACCAGGUGUCCUCUGGGUCCCACGGCGAAAAAUCUUUGUGACUCGACAACCAGUGCCCUCUGCAUCAUACAGCAAAUAGAAAAUAGCAUCCCUUGGCGAACAAGCAUCCUCAGGUUCCUCUGGCGAAUAGGAUUUUCUAGGGUCCUCCAGCAACCAGGCCCUCGUAUUCCAGGUUCUAAACCGACCAGGUGUCCUCUGGGUCCCACGGCGAAAAAUCAUUGUGCCUCGAUAACCAGUGUCCUCUGCAUCAUACAGCAAUCAGGAAACAGGGUCCCUCGGCGAACAAGCGUCCUCUGGUGAAUAGGAUUUUCUAGGGUCCUCCAGCAACCAGGCCCUCGUAUUCCAGGUUCUAAACCGACCAGGUGUCCUAUGGGUCCCACGGUGAAAAAUCUUUGUGUCUCGACAACCAGUGUACUCUGCGUCAUACAGCAAUCAGGAAACAGGGUCCCUCGGCGAACAAGCAUCCUUGGGUUCCUCUGGUGCAAAGGCUUUUCCCGGGUCCUCCAGCAACCAGGCCCUCGUAUUCCAGGUUCUAAACCAACCAGGUGUCCUUUGGGUCCCACGACGAAAAAUCAUUGUGCCUCGACAACCAGUGUACUCUGUGUCAUACAGCAAUCAGGAAACAGGGUCCCUCGGCGAACAAGCAUCCUUGUGUUCCUCUGGUGCAAAGACUUUUCCCGGGUCCUCCAGCAACCAGGCCCUCGUAUUCCAGGUUCUAAACCGACCAGGUGUCCUUUGGGUCCCACGGCGAAAAAUCAUUGUGCCUCGACAACCAGUGCCCUCUGCAUCAUACAGCAAUCAGGAAAUAGCAUCCCUCGGCGAACAAGCAUCCUCAAGUUCCUCUGGCGAAUAGGCUUUUCUAGGGUCCUCCAGCAACCAGGCCCUCGUAUUCCAGGUUCUAAACCGACCAGGUGUCCUCUGGGUCCCACGGCGAAAAAUCUUUGUGUCUCGACAACCAGUGUACUCUGCAUCAUACAGCAAUCAGGAAACAGGGUACCUCGGCAAACAAGCGUCCUCUGUUGAACAGGAUUUUCUUGGGUCCUCCAGCAACCUACCUACAGCAAUCAGGAAAUAGCAUCCCUCGGCGAACAAGCAUCCUCAAGUUCCUCUGGCGAAUAGGCUUUUCUAGGGUCCUCCAGCAACCAGGCCCUCGUAUUCCAGGUUCUAAACCGACCAGGUGUCCUCUGGGUCCCACGACGAAAAAUCUUUCUGCCUCGACAACUAGUGUCCUCUGCAUCAUAUAGCAAUCAGGAAACAUGUCCCUCGGCGAACAAGCGUCCUUAGGUUCCUCUGGUGAAUAGGCUUUUCCCGGGUCCUCCAGCAACCAGGCCCUCGUAUUCCAGAUUCUAAACCAACCAAGUGUCCUCUGGGUCCCAUGGGAAAAAUCAUUGUACCUCAACAACCAGUGUACUUUGCAUCAUACAGCAAUCAGGAAAAAGGGUUCCUCGGCGAACAAGCGUCCUUGGGUUCCCCUGGGAAAUAGUUAUUUUCCGGGUACUCCAGCGACCAGGGCCCUCGUAUUCCAGGUUCUAAACCAACCAGGUGUCCUCUGGGUCCCACGUUGAAAAAUCAUUGUGCCUCGACAACCAGUGUCCGCUGCAUGAUACCGCAAUCAGGAAAUAGGGUUCCUUGGCAAACAAGUGUCCUCAGAUACCCCGGGGGAAUAGAUUUUUCUUGGGUCGUCCGGCGACCAGGGCCCUCAUAUUCCAGGUUCUAAACUAAUAAGAUGUCCUUUGGGUCCCAUAGCAAAAAUCAUUGUGCCUGAACAACCAAUGUACUCUGCAUUAUACAGCAAUCAGGAAAUAGGGUUCCUCAGCGAACAAGUGUUCUCGGAUACCCCUGGGGAAUAGAUUUUUCCCGGGUACUCCAGUGACCAGGGCCUUCAUAUUCCAGGUUCUAAACUGACAAGAUGUCCUUUGGGUCCCACAGC